GAGAACAACAGCAGAGGAGACAGGUCUGAUCGGCUGUCAUGGGAACGGAUUUUAAUUUAGAUGCUGCAAUUCACAUCUAUUCCUCCUACUGACCUUUCUAGUCCAAAUUUCCAUGCUCCAACAUCCCAUGGAAUUCGACUCAAAUGUUCGCUGAGGCUCUGUUUUGUUCAGGCACCACCAGUAGGUACCACGUGGUCCAUGAUUGGUACAGGGUUGCCAAUGUCCUUGUCUUCCGGAACCUCGGCUGCAACAGUGCUUCAGUGUUAUCAGGAACUGGAGGGACACCAAAAUCGCAUCACACACACAAGGAGCUGCCAAGAUGCUAAUCUCGUUCCCACCGCUCCUUGUUCUGUGCCUGGGGAAAACAUCCAUCAUGCCGUCACCUGUGCGGUUUAAGAUCCACAGCCUUUAAAAGGAAUGUACGUAUGGUUUCGUGAACUGGGCGGAUCGAGGGUUUGAAAGACAACAUAAAGGCAAUGUUUGUACUCAAAUGUCAAACAUUGUGUGAGCAGAUUUAGUGUUCUUUCCCUCCCAUGAAUAACAUUCCACGCUGUAGCGAAUUUAUCCAUGUUCCUAUCAGCACGGCCUUAUUCUGGGACAAAACGGGGAUGGGCAGACGCAGAGGGGGUAGGAACGUGAGUAUUUAUUUUGGAAAAUCACUCUUAAUGGGAUUUGUGUUCUUUUCAUAACAUGAUGAAGGCUGUGGUUAUUUGUCAAAUACAAGGGCAGCAGUGAUGCCUGAAUCAAAGGCCUGCAGCCAGCUCCCUCAUCUUCCUUGGGUGACUUAAAGGGACAAUGACUUGGUGCAGAUGCCCCCAAGCCCUGGGCAGGGGCAGCUUAAAUGCCAGUUAUAAUGGACAGCCUUGGUGGACAGCUGUCCGCCAACAGGCAGCUUUCAGCGGCACUUGCUGACACAGUGCACAGUGGCGACCCACAGAAUCAACACUACACCAUUGAGUUUGUGCGAUGGAAAAGAUGACCCUUGCCCUAAAUCAAUAGGUUCUAACGUGGCCGCCAUGAAUCACCCAGCAUCUCAGGUGUCAAUACAUCUCUUAUAUUAUGCGUAAAAUUUUGUACCCGCUUUGUGCAUUCUGAGAAAGGGGAAGGAGAGCCAUAGUUUCUCUGAGAUUUUCAAGAGGAACCUGAAAAGAUUAAUAACCAUUGCUCUAAAAUGAUAAACAGAGCAUGUGUAUCCAACACAGCCAAAAACAGCUGCAACACAGCAAGUGAGCAAGGUCAAAGCACGCUGGUGAGGAAGCGAACCGUUAGACGGGCAAAGGGAAGGAAGAGCCAGGCAGGGGGCUGCACAGAGCCCUGGAGGGGAAGAGCCUAGAACAGAGGGGCAGACGAGUCCCUGCAGAACCAGGAUGCUGAGCGAUGAAGUCGGCUAAGGACCCUUGUUGGGGCGAACGUGGCUGGCGGUGUCACUUAAGCUCUCUGGUUUACAUUCUUGUUGCUCUGUGAUUCCGGAUCCUUCGAGUUUUAUGAUAAAAAACAAACAAACAAACAAACAAAAAACCAGAAAUCUACAUUCUUAAUUGACAGCUCUUAACUUUUUAAUCUUAAAAAUGAACUCAAAAUUAAAUGAAGCAGGGCCAGAUGUUGUGGCGUGGUGGAUUAAAACACCACUUGCAAUGCCAGCAUCCCAUACGAGCACCAGUCUGAGUCCCGCCUGCUCCACUUCAGCUCCAGCUCCCUGCUAAUGCGGCUGGGAGAGCAGUGGAAGACGGCCCAAGUCCUUAGGCUCCUGCCACACAAGGGAGACUCAGAUGGAGUUCCUGGCUCCCGGCUUCCACCUGGCCCAGCCCCAGCUGUUGUAGCGACUUGUGGAGUAAGUGAACCACUAGAUGGAAGAUCUGUCUCUCUCCUUCUGUCUCUCCCUCUCUCUCUGUAAUGCUGCCUUUCAAAUCAAUAAAGAGCUUUUUAAAGCAAAAACA
rnacentral:lncRNA from 1 species